GAAUUCGCCCUUAGAGUUUGAUCCUGGCUCAGGAUGAACGCUGGCGGCGUGCCUAACACAUGCAAGUCGAACGAAGCAUGUAUGGAACUUCUUUUCGAGGAAGGGAAAUAUAUGACUGAGUGGCGGACGGGUGAGUAACGCGUGGGUAACCUGCCGUAUACCGGGGGAUAACAGCCGGAAACGGCUGCUAAUACCGCAUACGCCAAGGAGGCUGCAUAGCUUCCUGGGGAAAACUCCGGUGGUAUGGGAUGGGCCCGCGUCUGAUUAGCUCGUUGGCGGGGUAACGGCCCACCAAGGCGACGAUCAGUAGCCGGCCUGAGAGGGCGGCCGGCCACAUUGGGACUGAGACACGGCCCAGACUCCUGCGGGAGGCAGCAGUGGGGAAUAUUGCACAAUGGGGGAAACCCUGAUGCAGCGACGCCGCGUGAGCGAUGAAGUAUCUCGGUAUGUAAAGCUCUAUCAGCAGGGAAGAAAGUGACAGUACCUGACUAAGAAGCCCCGGCUAACUACGUGCCAGCAGCCGCGGUAAUACGUAGGGGGCAAGCGUUAUCCGGAUUUACUGGGUGUAAAGGGAGCGUAGACGGCAAUGCAAGCCAGAUGUGAAAACCCGCAGCUCAACUGGGGGAGUGCAUUUGGAACUGUGUAGCUGGAGUGCAGGAGAGGUAAGCGGAAUUCCUGGUGUAGCGGUGAAAUGCGUAGAUAUCAGGAGGAACACCAGUGGCGAAGGCGGCUUACUGGACUGUAACUGACGUUGAGGCUCGAAAGCGUGGGGAGCAAACAGGAUUAGAUACCCUGGUAGUCCACGCUGUAAACGAUGAAUACUAGGUGUUGGUGGGCAAAGCCCAUCGGUGCCGCCGCAAACGCAAUAAGUAUUCCACCUGGGGAGUACGUUCGCAAGAAUGAAACCCAAAGGAAUUGACGGGGACCCGCACAAGCGGUGGAGCAUGUGGUUUAAUUCGAAGCAACGCGAAGAACCUUACCAAGUCUUGACAUCUCCCUGACCGGUGAGUAAAGUCACCUUUCCUUCGGGACAGGGAAGACAGGUGGUGCAUGGUUGUCGUCAGCUCGUGUCGUGAGAUGUUGGGUUAAGUCCCGCAACGAGCGCAACCCUUAUUCUUAGUAGCCAGCAGGUAAAGCUGGGCACUCUGGGAAGACUGCCAGGGAUAACCUGGAGGAAGGUGGGGAUGACGUCAAAUCAUCAUGCCCCUUAUGAUUUGGGCUACACACGUGCUACAAUGGCGUAAACAAAGGGAGGCAAAGGAGUAAUCUGGAGCAAACCCCAAAAAUAACGUCUCAGUUCGGACUGUGGUCUGCAACCCGACCACACGAAGCUGGAAUCGCUAGUAAUCGCGAAUUAGAAUGUCGCGGUGAAUACGUUCCCGGGUCUUGCACACACCGCCCG
rnacentral:rRNA from 1 species